UACGGAGGGUGCGAGCGUUGUCCGGAAUCACUGGGCGUAAAGGGCGCGUAGGCGGCUUCUUAAGCGGGUGGUGAAAGCUCGGGGCUCAACCUCGAGUCGGCCAUGCGAACUGGGAAGCUCGAGCACUGUAGAGGCAGGCGGAAUUCCGGGUGUAGCGGUGGAAUGCGUAGAGAUCCGGAAGAACACCGGUGGCGAAGGCGGCCUGCUGGGCAGUAGCUGACGCUGAGGCGCGACAGCGUGGGGAGCAAAC
rnacentral:rRNA from 1 species